GACGAACGCUGGCGGCGUGCUUAACACAUGCAAGUCGAACGGAAAGGCCCUGCUUUUGUGGGGUGCUCGAGAGGCGAACGGGUGAGUAACACGUGAGUAACCUGCCCUUGACUUUGGGAUAACUUCAGGAAACUGGGGCUAAUACCGGAUAGGAGCUCCUGCUGCAUGAUGGGGGUUGGAAAGUUUCGGCGGUUGGGGAUGGACUCACGGCUUAUCAGCUUGUUGGUGGGGUAGUGGCUUACCAAGGCUUUGACGGGUAGCCGGUCUGAGAGGGUGACCGGCCACAUUGGGACUGAGAUACGGCCCAGACUCCUACGGGAGGCAGCAGUGGGGAAUAUUGCACAAUGGGCGGAAGCCUGAUGCAGCAACGCCGCGUGCGGGAUGACGGCCUUCGGGUUGUAAACCGCUUUCGCCUGUGACGAAGCGUGAGUGACGGUAAUGGGUAAAGAAGCACCGGCUAACUACGUG
rnacentral:rRNA from 1 species